AGAGUUUGAUCCUGGCUCAGGACGAACGCUGGCGGCGUGCCUAACACAUGCAAGUCGAACGGAGAAUUUUAUUUCGGUAGAAUUCUUAGUGGCGAACGGGUGAGUAACGCGUAGGCAACCUGCCCUUUAGACGGGGACAACAUUCCGAAAGGAGUGCUAAUACCGGAUGUGAUCAUCGUGCCGCAUGGCAGGAUGAAGAAAGAUGGCCUCUACAAGUAAGCUAUCGCUAAAGGAUGGGCCUGCGUCUGAUUAGCUAGUUGGUAGUGUAACGGACUACCAAGGCGAUGAUCAGUAGCCGGUCUGAGAGGAUGAACGGCCACAUUGGGACUGAGACACGGCCCAAACUCCUACGGGAGGCAGCAGUGGGGAAUCUUCCGCAAUGGACGAAAGUCUGACGGAGCAACGCCGCGUGAGUGAUGAAGGAUUUCGGUCUGUAAAGCUCUGUUGUUUAUGACGAACGUGCAGUGUGUGAACAAUGCAUUGCAAUGACGGUAGUAAACGAGGAAGCCACGGCUAACUACGUGCCAGCAGCCGCGGUAAUACGUAGGUGGCGAGCGUUGUCCGGAAUUAUUGGGCGUAAAGAGCAUGUAGGCGGCUUAAUAAGUCGAGCGUGAAAAUGCGGGGCUCAACCCCGUAUGGCGCUGGAAACUGUUAGGCUUGAGUGCAGGAGAGGAAAGGGGAAUUCCCAGUGUAGCGGUGAAAUGCGUAGAUAUUGGGAGGAACACCAGUGGCGAAGGCGCCUUUCUGGACUGUGUCUGACGCUGAGAUGCGAAAGCCAGGGUAGCGAACGGGAUUAGAUACCCCGGUAGUCCUGGCCGUAAACGAUGGGUACUAGGUGUAGGAGGUAUCGACCCCUUCUG
rnacentral:rRNA from 1 species